GACGAACGCUGGCGGCGUGCUUAACACAUGCAAGUCGAACGGAAAGGCCCUGCUUUUGUGGGGUGCUCGAGUGGCGGACGGGUGAGUAACGCGUGAGUAACCUGCCUUACACAAGGGGAUAGCCGUUGGAAACGACGAAUAAUACCCUAUGAAACUAUCACUUCGCAUGAAGCGAUAGUCAAAGUGUUAGCGGUGUAAGAUGGACUUGCGUCUGAUUAGCUAGUUGGUGAGAAAAAAGCCCACCAAGGCAACGAUCAGUAGCCGGCUUGAGAGAGUGUACGGCCACAUUGGGACUGAGACACGGCCCAGACUCCUACGGGAGGCAGCAGUGGGGAAUUUUGCACAAUGGGGGAAACCCUGAUGCAGCGACGCCGCGUGAUUUAGAAGGCCUUCGGGUUGUAAAAAUCUUUUGUAUAGGAAGAAAAUGACAGUACUAUACGAAUAAGGUCCGGCUAAUUACGUG
rnacentral:rRNA from 1 species